GAUUUGCAGCAGGAGCUGGGCAUUUAUUAGAAAAUAAGGAAGUCAGAACUAUCCUGUGAGAAGUAACCUGCAGCAAGUAGUAGGUCCUCAGCAAAGCUAACUGGUGCAGUUUCUCCAGAAGAAAUUGUAGACCAGGAAAUAUAAAAUAACCAGAUGAAUAAAACCUCACCUUCCAUAGUAAGAAUACCAACAGUGCAAGCAUCAGUAUUCCAGCAAAAAUGGCCACAGAGAUGAUCCACCAAGGUACUCCUGUAUAAAGUGCUACUGGUUUUGCAGGAAAGACAGUAACACGCACCUAAAGGAGAGAAAAUAUGUAAAGAUGGAAAGAGCAUUUGAGAAGCAUCCACGUUUAAUAUAAAGCUGCAAUUUAUACAGUCUUAGCUUUUCUGUAACAAGAUGUCUUCUCUCUCUCAUCUACAAAAUGUUUUUGAAGAAAAAGUUCCUACUGGUAUCAUUUCAAUAUGCUAGUGAAUUUUUCCAACCUGAUUAAAAGGUUAAAAUGAUAAAUAAUUCAAAAUUAAGUUAAAGAGCUAAACUUUUAGCUACCUUUUUUU